rnacentral:rRNA from 1 species
AUUGAACGCUGGCGGAAUGCUUUACACAUGCAAGUCGAACGGCAGCACGGGAGCUUGCUCCUGGUGGCGAGUGGCGAACGGGUGAGUAAUACAUCGGAACGUACCCAGACGUGGGGGAUAACGUAGCGAAAGUUACGCUAAUACCGCAUACGUCCUGAGGGAGAAAGCGGGGGAUCGCAAGACCUCGCGCGUUUGGAGCGGCCGAUGGCGGAUUAGCUAGUUGGUGGGGUAAAGGCCUACCAAGGCGACGAUCCGUAGCAGGUCUGAGAGGAUGAUCUGCCACACUGGAACUGAGACACGGUCCAGACUCCUACGGGAGGCAGCAGUGGGGAAUUUUGGACAAUGGGCGAAAGCCUGAUCCAGCCAUUCCGCGUGAGUGAAGAAGGCCUUCGGGUUGUAAAGCUCUUUCGGCAGGGAAGAAACGGCGCCGGAUAAUACCUGGCGUUAAUGACGGUACCUGAAGAAGAAGCACCGGCUAACUACGUGCCAGCCGCCGCAGUAA